UCUGAGAGUAAACGGGUGGUACCCGAAAGUUCGAAAGGGGAGAUUCAUGUCUCGCCGCGAGCCGGGCGGCGGACGCGACCGGAGAUGGGAUCUCUGAGGUUGAGGGGCAACUUUCAACCCAGGGUUGCCACUCCGCGGCCGCUGUCAAUCCCGGCACGGAGUGACGCACUUCUCCCCGAGUAGGACGUCGCGACCCGUCGAGCGCCGGCCUAAGGUCUCGGGAGGAGUCUGCGAGGUCUGCUUUUUGCCGACCUCGCACGACCCCGAGAAUCCCGGCCGGGUGCCCGACGGUACGAAGCUUGGAAGGAGUCGACGCGCCAAUUUUGUUUGGCGUCCGGCCCUCUGCAAGCGCCCGCGGUAGACUGUGUUGCGGGCCUGGCCCGAUUCCAGUCCUCCGUGGGGCUGUUUGCGAUUAAGAGGUGUCCUCGGACGGCGUUGAUUCUCCAGUCGGCGACGCUUCAGCUUGGAUGGCCUACCCGACCC
rnacentral:rRNA from 1 species